rnacentral:siRNA from 1 species
AUGGUGCAUUCCUAUGUUAUUAGC